CACCCCCAGCUCCUCCACCGCCCACCGGGGGCUCAGCCGGUUUUGUAGCUGCUAUUUUGGCUGGGUGUUUUUGUUGUAAGUGUUGUUGAACAGGAAAAAUAAAAACUCGAGGCCCCUGGUGGUAUUUUUAGUCCCGUAUCGGUGACUCGCUCAAAAGCCUCAGCAGGACUGUAAAAUAAAAUUAAUCUGCAUCUGCCGUGCGUCACUUUUACAAAGCUCCUCUCCUUCUGCUACUGCGGGGAUGGUUUGCAACCCUGGGCUUGGGAGAGCGCCAAGUACCUGCCAGGCAGCCCCAGAACAGCAGACAGCAGUGGGGAACCAGCAGGGACGGGGGUGAGGGGCGGGCAGAGGGAAGGAAAUUGGAUUCUCCUGGAGUUUGUGGGAAGCUGAGCCCGAUCCGCCUGCUCAGUGAUUUCACAGAACCUGUGCCUUGCCUCGUUGCUGAGGGAUCUAGGGGGAAGGCUUUGUGGGAUACACGAUCCAGCCUCGUGGCUCAUCCCGGAGCUGAAAGCUGCUGUGAUGCUCCCAGGAAUGAGGUAUUUCUGGUGGAGGAAAUGGUUUGCUGGCUGCACCAGGCUUUUCCUGAGGGGUUGGUAAUGUUUUCCAAGAGUUGGUGUGGGAUGGCUCUGCAGGAGAUGCUGGGUGAGGAACAGCCCAGAAAACAACCUCAGUCUCUCCAUCCAUCAUCCUGGAUGUAAACAUCCAUCUGAUUCCUCCCUGUGUGUCCUGGGAGCUGUGGUUUCCCUUUGCAGUCCCCAGGGGAGGUGUCUGCAGGGGAUGGG